CCUACGGGUGGCAGCAGUGAGGAAUAUUGGUCAAUGGGCGUAAGACUGAACCAGCCAAGUAGCGUGCAGGAUGACUGCCCUACGGGUUGUAAACUUCUUUUAUGCAGGAAUAAAGUGAGUCACGUGUGCCUUUUUGUAUGUACCUUAUGAAUAAGGAUCGGUUAAUUCCGUGCCAGCAGCCGCGGUAAUACGGAGGAUCCGGGCGUUAUCCGGAUUUAUUGGGUUUAAAGGGAGCGUAGAGGGGUUGUUAAGUCAGUGGUGAAAGUCGGUGGCUCAACCGUUGCAGUGCAAUUGAUACUGGCAGGCUUGAGUACAGGUGAGGUAGGCGGAAUUCGUGGUGUAGCGGUGAAAUGCUUAGAUAUCACGAAGAACUCCGAUUGCGAAGGCAGCUUACUGAACUGCCACUGACGCUGAGGCUCGAAGGUGUGGGUAUCGAACAGGAUUAGAUACCCGGGUAGUC
rnacentral:rRNA from 1 species